UUUACCUACGGGAGGCAGCAGUAGGGAAUCUUCCACAAUGGGCGAAAGCCUUAUGGAGCAACGCCGCGUGGGUGAAGAAGGUCUUCUGAUCGUAAAACCCUGUUGUUAGAGAAGAAAGUGCGUGAGAGUAACUGUUCACGGUUCGACGGUAUCUAACCAGAAAGCCACGGCGAACUACGUGCCAGCAGCCGCGGUAUUACGGAGGUGGCAAGCGUUAUCCGGAUUUAUUG
rnacentral:rRNA from 1 species